rnacentral:rRNA from 1 species
AUGCCAUACAAGUCGAAGGAACAAGGGGGUGGAACCAACAUGCGGUGGAUCAAACUAACCAGAGUCUGGUGUCAGAGCAUGCUUACCGGCUUCAGCAUCAUGUUGAGGUACGGCAGGAUCAGAAAUCUCCGCCGUGUCGGCGGCAAUAUUCUGUACCUGCGCCAGGCUACUCCCCACCUCCUCGCCCUGCAACCCACCAGAUUCCACCAUCAUGGCAUCAAAAUCUGCCUCGCCGAAACUCCCCUGCGCCAUCGCCUCCCCGUCCGUGGAGGCAUCCACCAGCGGCAGCUCGUCCCGCCCCUCCGGGUCCCCCCCUCCCUCCAUCCCCGAAAGCCAGAUCAUCGCGGCGAACCAACCCCCGGCGCCCCCUACUCGAAUCUGUGGAAUUGGGCGGAGAGGUUAGUCGGCGCAAAUUAA